GGCAGCUGACGAGUCUUAAAUAGGACGAAACGCGCGUCCUGGAU
rnacentral:hammerhead_ribozyme from 1 species